AAUUGGAAAUACUGAUUCCUGCUUUCAGGAGUGAUGCAACAUAUUGGAAAUAAUUUCACUGCUUUUAGAAUGAUCCUGAAAACUUGGAAAUGGACCAGAAUGACGGCUAUUAUCAUGGUUUUUCACUUCCAAGAAAUAUUAGUGAUACAACCCAUCUUUAGUUUUCAAUUUUUUUUUGUAUUCGAGGUACAAAAAUGAGAAAAGAAGUCCAGAUUUCUAACCAGUUUUAUCAGCAGAUGCAAUAAACUUGGGGGGAGAUGUACUUCUCAAAUUAUCUCUGUUAGAGCUUUCAUCUUUAUCAUGAACUCAGAAUUCGGAAGCCCGUGCGUGUCCAUGCUGGUAAUCGCCACCACAACAAAGUUUGCUUAAGUCGUUUUAGACGAAUAGCUGCACAGAGCCACCGAAUAAAAGACCUUCGUGGCCUUGAUGUACUCUUUGUUCUGCUGCAGAAACUAAUUAAAUAGAUAAACUCACUAAUGGUGCUCACGGUGAAAAAAACACAUCACGUCGUUUCUGC
rnacentral:lncRNA from 1 species